UAGAGUUUGAUCCUGGCUCAGAUUGAACGCUGGCGGCAGGCCUAACACAUGCAAGUCGAGCGGCAGCGGGAAAGUAGCUUGCUACUUUUGCCGGCGAGCGGCGGACGGGUGAGUAAUGCCUGGGGAUCUGCCCGAUAGAGGGGGAUAACUACGGGAAACUGUAGCCAAUACCGCAUAAUGUCUACGGACCAAAGUGGGGGCUCUUCGGACCUCAUGCUAUCGGAUGAACCCAGGUGGGAUUAGCUAGUUGGUGAGGUAAUGGCUCACCAAGGCGACGAUCUCUAACUGGUUUGAGAGAAUGACCAGUCACACUGGAACUGAGACACGGUCCAGACUCCUACGGGAGGCAGCAGUGGGGAAUAUUGCACAAUGGGCGCAAGCCUGAUGCAGCCAUGCCGCGUGUGUGAAGAAGGCCUUCGGGUUGUAAAGCACUUUCAGCGGGGAGGAAGGGUCACUAGUUAAUACCUAGUGGCAUUGACGUUACUCGCAGAAGAAGCACCGGCUAACUCCGUGCCAGCAGCCGCGGUAAUACGGAGGGUGCAAGCGUUAAUCGGAAUUACUGGGCGUAAAGCGCACGCAGGCGGUUUGUUAAGUCAGAUGUGAAAUCCCCGAGCUCAACUUGGGAACUGCAUUUGAAACUGGCAAGCUAGAGUCUUGUAGAGGGGGGUAGAAUUCCAGGUGUAGCGGUGAAAUGCGUAGAGAUCUGGAGGAAUACCGGUGGCGAAGGCGGCCCCCUGGACAAAGACUGACGCUCAGGUGCGAAAGCGUGGGGAGCAAACAGGAUAAGAUCCCCUGGUAGUCCACGCUGUAAACGA
rnacentral:rRNA from 1 species